rnacentral:rRNA from 1 species
UAGAUAUUGGAGGAAACACCAGUGGCGAAGGCGGCUCACUGGCUCGAUACUGACGCUGAGGUGCGAAAGUGUGGGGAGCAAACAGGAUUAGAUACCCUGGUAGUCCACACCGUAAACGAUGAAUGCCAGUCGUCGGCAAGUAUACUUGUCGGUGACACACCUAACGGAUUAAGCAUUCCGCCUGGGGAGUACGGUCGCAAGAUUAAAACUCAAAGGAAUUGACGGGGGCCCGCACAAGCGGUGGAGCAUGUGGUUUAAUUCGACGCAACGCGAAGAACCUUACCUACACUUGACAUCCUCGGAACUUUCUAGAGAUAGAUUGGUGCCUUCGGGAACCGAGUGACAGGUGCUGCAUGGCUGUCGUCAGCUCGUGUCGUGAGAUGUUGGGUUAAGUCCCGUAACGAGCGCAACCCUUAUCCUUAAUUGCCAGCGGUUAGGCCGGGAACUCUAAGGAGACUGCCGAUGACAAAUCGGAGGAAGGUGGGGGCGACGUCAAGUCAUCAUGGCCCUUACGUGUAGGGCUACACACGUGCUACAAUGGCCGGUACAAACGGUUGCGGACCCGCGAGGGGAAGCUAAUCCGAGAAAGCCGGUCGUAGUCCGGAUUGGGGUCUGCAACUCGACCCCAUGAAGUCGGAAUCGCUAGUAAUCGUGAAUCAGAAUGUCACGGUGAAUACGUUCCCGGGCCUUGUACACACCGCCCGUCACACCAUGGGAGUGGGUUGCACCAGAAGUGGCUAGUCUAACUUAGGAGGACGGUCACCACGGUGUGAUUCAUGACUGGGGUGAAGUCGUAACAAGGUAACCGUAGGGGAACCUGCGGUUGGAUCACCUCCUU